AAAUAGCCCUGAUGGGAGCGGUAUCCCUUUUGGGCAAGACAGAAUUGUUUAAAAAAUAAGUUUCCCAAAAGGAUUGCAGCGUACAGCAGGACGGAAC
rnacentral:sRNA from 1 species